rnacentral:rRNA from 1 species
GACAGAGGAUGCAAGCGUUAUCCGGAAUGAUUGGGCGUAAAGCGUCUGUAGGUGGCUUUUUAAGUCCGCCGUCAAAUCCCAGGGCUCAACCCUGGACAGGCGGUGGAAACUACCAAGCUGGAGUACGGUAGGGGCAGAGGGAAUUUCCGGUGGAGCGGGUGAAAUGCGUAGAUAUCUGGAGGAACACCGGUGGCGAAGGCGGCAUCCUGGACCAACACUGACACUGAGGAGCGAAAGCCAGGGGAGCAAACGGG